rnacentral:lncRNA from 1 species
ACCAAUUUAAUAUCCUACAAAAUACAAAUAAUUCAAACCAUAUUCUAAACUUAAAUAUACAAUAAUCCAAACACCAUAUUACAAAUUCUUGACAAUAUAAAUAACAGUAAUUCAAAUUCAAAUUAUAAACUAAGAUUAUUUGUUUAGUUCUCUUCAUUUUGUCUUUGUCAUCUUGAAAACAAUAAUCCUACACAAAAAAUAAAUAAAAUGAUAUUAACAUGGUACAAUACUGAUAAUAGUCACUGUAGUAUUUCAGAAUAUCAAAUAUAUAGCAAAUUUGUAGUAUUGUUAAGGAAAUAAUAAUUAAAUCUAUAAAGCCAAGAAAAACAAACAAGAUAAAACUUUACCUAUCAUACUCCCACAUUGUCAUUAGGAUAAGAUGAGCAAUAGAAACAAUAGUUAAUGUUAUUAAAUAAAUCAGCAAACAUUUCACUUUAGCUAUAAUCCAUUUUCUCAAUCAUGAGAUGGAAAUUUAAUACAACCAAUCAUAAGCUUGAAUUACUUCUAAGGUAGCGUUUACUUUUUGGAUUGGAUUGGGAAUCCUGGGGAGUGGGAAUCCUAGGAUUGGGAGUGUGGAGUGUGAGUGGGAGUAGGUUGUUUACUUACACUGGAAUGGAAGCAUGGAAUGGAGAUCAGAAUCCAAUUUAUGUGUUUAUUUUGUCUUGAAUUGGGAGUAAAUAGUUUCAAAUUACAAUUUUAUCCUUAUUUAAAGAAUUAUAAUUUUUAAUUACAAAACUAAUAAAAAAUAUAUUUAAUGAAUAAUAUUUAUUUUAUUAUAUUUGUAAAUUUAUUAUAAUUAUUAAUAUUCUUAAUUAUGAACAAUAAAUUAUUAAUUGUAAUUUUAAUAUAAAAUGAAAUGUUAUUUUAUUUUAUAUAAUUAUAUUAAAUUUAUUAUUAUAUAAAAUAAUAAUAUAAUAUUAUUUAUUACAAAAUUAAUAUUUUCUUAGAAUAAAGUAUUUAUUAUUAUUAUUAUUAUUAAAUAAAUAUAGUACUAUUAUUUUUAAAAUAAAUAUAAUAAUAUUAUAUUUAUUAAUUCUCUAUUAAUAUAAUAAUAUUAUUUUAAAAUAAUUUUAACUUAGAAUCAAUGUAAAUUAUUAUUUAGUUAAAUAUAAUAUUAUUAUUUAAAUAAAUAUAAUAUUAUUUAUUUUAUUUUAUUAAUUAUAAAACAUAAAAUAAAAAAAAGGGUAGAAAUGGGAGAGGUGGGAGUGGAUUCCCACUCCCACCUCCCCCAAUGGGAGUCCCACUCCCACUUCCCACUCCAAAAAUGGGUGGGGCCCACGGAGUGGGAUUCCCAAUCCCUCCCUAUUUUAAGUAAGUAAACGCUGGAGUGGGAGGAAUCCACACUCCUCACUCCCACUCCAGCAAGUAAACACAACAUAAGCUGAAAAAACGAAUCACUACCAAAAAGGCUGCAUCUUGAUGGCAGUGCAUUUGAGGAAAAGAAUAAAAGAAAAAAGAAUCAUAUCAAUUCAAAUUUCAAAAUAUGUAGAGAUAAAUCUGGAGAAAUCUAAAGGUAAAAAAUAUAAAAUAAUGUAAAAUAUUUAAAUAUAGCUAGAGUCUAGUAAAUUUCAAAUUGAAAUAAGUUUAUUUUAAAAAAUAAAAAUAAAAUUCUAAGCAAUAGUAUUUCUCUAUAAUUUCCACUUGUAAAAACAACAAGCAAAUCAACAAUUCACUUAGUCUUGUCCAAAGCCGACGCUACAAAGCUCAAAAAUUAAAAAAAGAAAAAGAAUUAGAGCUUAUUGGUAUAAGGUGCCGGGCGAGAAAUUGUGGAGAAAAAAAAAGAAAAAUUUUGAGUCUGAACAGUGGAGACAAGAGAGGGCUGCCGCAGCUGAAAGAUGAGGGGAAAGAAAGAGCGAAAUAAUGAAAUGAGAAAAUCAGGGCCG